CUACUACUCCCUCCGUCCAAAAAUACUUGUCAUUGAAAUGGAUGUAUCUAGAUGUAUUUUAGUUCUAGACACAUCCAUUUUGAUGACAAGUAAUUCCGGACGGAGGGAGUAUUAU
rfam:Triticum aestivum genome assembly, contig: Triticum_aestivum_CS42_TGACv1_scaffold_130618_2BL